GGUAGGAGAGGAGAAAUGAUUCUACAUAUUUUCCAAACAUAAUGUUUAAAACAUUUUGUAAUGUAGGGGAAGUCUGAAAAGCAACAUCUCCCAAACUGAAUUGGAUACUAGGGCAGGAUCAGACUAAGACUUUUGUGAAAUAUUACCAAGAUUGGAAUUGGAUUGGACAACACGGACAAAGAUGCACAGACAAUCUGCAGAUUAGCAAAAGUGUCUGCUCUACAGAGGAUCCCACCAAGCCAGACACAGCACACCAGCAUUCACUGUGCAAUCCUCAGCAAGCAGAAGGUCCCUGAGUUCAUCCUUCUCUGGUUCAGCAGAGAGGAAGAGACCAGCACUCAAGGUUUGUGAAUAAUUCCCCAGCCUGCAGCUGACUUUGUUUGCUCAUUCAUGAUGAC
rnacentral:lncRNA from 12 species